AUUGAACGCUGGCGGCAGGCCUAACACAUGCAAGUCGAACGGUAACAGGAAGAUGCUUGCUUCUUUGCUGACGAGUGGCGGACGGGUGAGUAAUGUCUGGGAAACUGCCUGAUGGAGGGGGCUAACUACUGGAAACGGUAGCUAAUACCGCAUAACGUCGCAAGACCAAAGAGGGGGACCUUCGGGCCUCUUGCCAUCGGAUGUGCCCAGAUGGGAUUAGCUAGUAGGUGGGGUAACGGCUCACCUAGGCGACGAUCCCUAGCUGUUCUGAGAGGAUGACCAGCCACACUGGAACUGAGGCACGGUCCAGACUCCUACGAGAGGCAGCAGUGGGGAAUAUUGCACAAUGGGGGCAAGCCUGAUGCAGCCAUGCCGCGUGUAUGAAGAAGGCCUUCGGGUUGUAAAGUACUUUCAGCGGGGAGGAAGGGAGUAAAGUUAAUACCUUUGCUCAUUGACGUUACCCGCAGAAGAAGCACCGGCUAACUCCGUG
rnacentral:rRNA from 1 species